rnacentral:rRNA from 3 species
GUUCGGAUUGGAGUCUGCAACUCGACUCCAUGAAGCCGGAAUCGCUAGUAAUCGUAGGUCAGCCAUACUACGGUGAAUACGUUCCCGGGCCUUGUACACACCGCCCGUCAAGCGAUGGAAGCUGGGGGUACCCGAAGCCGGUGGCCUAACCUUCGGGAGGGAGCCGUCGAAGGUAAACUCAGUGACUGGCGCUAAGUCGUAACAAGGUAGCCGUAGGGGAACCUGCGGCUGGAUCACCUCCUUUCUAGGGAG